UUCCAGAUUUUCAAAGUGCUA
rnacentral:piRNA from 1 species